UAGGGAAUCUUCCGCAAUGGACGAAAGUCUGACGGAGCAACGCCGCGUGAGUGAUGAAGGUUUUCGGAUCGUAAAGCUCUGUUGUUAGGGAAGAACAAGUACCGUUCGAAUAGGGCGGUACCUUGACGGUACCUAACCAGAAAGCCACGGCUAACUACGUGCCAGCAGCCGCGGUAAUACGUAGGUGGCAAGCGUUGUCCGGAAUUAUUGGGCGUAAAGGGCUCGCAGGCGGUUCCUUAAGUCUGAUGUGAAAGCCCCCGGCUCAACCGGGGAGGGUCAUUGGAAACUGGGGAACUUGAGUGCAGAAGAGGAGAGUGGAAUUCCACGUGUAGCGGUGAAAUGCGUAGAGAUGUGGAGGAACACCAGUGGCGAAGGCGACUCUCUGGUCUGUAACUGACGCUGAGGAGCGAAAGCGUGGGGAGCGAACAGGAUUAGAUACCCUGGUAGUCCACGCCGUAAACGAUGAGUGCUAAGUGUUAGGGGGUUUCCGCCCCUUAGUGCUGCAGCUAACGCAUUAAGCACUCCGCCUGGGGAGUACGGUCGCAAGACUGAAACUCAAAGGAAUUGACGGGGGCCCGCACAAGCGGUGGAGCAUGUGGUUUAAUUCGAAGCAACGCGAAGAACCUUACCAGGUCUUGACAUCCUCUGACAAUCCUAGAGAUAGGACGUCCCCUUCGGGGGCAGAGUGACAGGUGGUGCAUGGUUGUCGUCAGCUCGUGUCGUGAGAUGUUGGGUUAAGUCCCGCAACGAGCGCAACCCUUGAUCUUAGUUGCCAGCAUUCAGUUGGGCACUCUAAGGUGACUGCCGGUGACAAACCGG
rnacentral:rRNA from 1 species